GGAUAUAUGGGCAGCACUUCAGCUGCUGGAGGGUUCACAGCUCUAGAUGUGGCUGUUUGCACGAUAGAAAAAGCCAACUCCCUCAUUAACAGACUAAUUGAAGAGGACUGUAUGGGUCUACUAGGUAUGGUUGUGGUGGAUGAGUUGCAUAUGGUUGGAGAUUCUGGAAGAGGAUACCUACUAGAACUGCUCUUAACCAAAAUCCGCUACAUUGCACAGAAGCAGAAUACCACUGGGUCUCUCUCUGAGGGUGUACAGAUCA